AUUCACUUUAAAAUUUCUGCCUUUACACACCCUGGUGCUUAUCUGUUGUUUAAUCACAGAACUCCAACAAGAUGCCCGGCCUGGAGCACGAUUCUUUUGACUGCCUGUUCAACCCAGCUGUUGCUGUUGGUGACCUGCAGGCCAACAGAUCCAUCAUGGCCUGACUGAUGAGGCACUUGGAGAAAGCAGUAAUCAUUUUUGUCUUGAAAAUUAAUGGACAGCUACAUAACUAACAUUAUAAUUAUACUAGAAAUGUACCUGCCUCAGUGGGAGAAGGCCAAUGUGUUGAAAAAUAAAAAUACACCAAAAUGCACACAUACCACAUGUGUAGCCUGCUGGUCAUCAAGAGUGCUUGCAAGCCAGCGUCGGUCCCAUAAUACUACACCAAAAUCCUAGCGGCUUCCAGUCUUGCAGGAGAUAGCAGUGUUUCUACUUCAUCUGCGAGGCUGCCAACUAAACAAAUACGUGGAUCAGCACCCGAUUCUGUAUCAACUUGGCUUACUGACGUCACAUCUGUGGAAAGUGGAAAUUAUAUAUACAAUAAUGUUUGUUAAACAAGUACUGUUCACACAAAAUGUACUGUAUUAAUUAAAAAUAUAACUUUGAACUGACUGCAA